UUUUGGAAAUUUGUCCUUACG
rnacentral:miRNA from 1 species